rnacentral:misc_RNA from 1 species
ACGAGUUUAAUUGUUUAGGUUAGAGUUGAGCUGGUUAAUUAAUUAAUAUGUCUUACUCUAAUCGAAACAAGUCCACUCAUUACUUAACACUUGUGAACUUAUUCAUUACAACAUUAUUAUUUGUUAUUGGAACGUUUGAUUAUUAAACAGUUAAUAC